rnacentral:rRNA from 1 species
GACGAACGCUGGCGGCGUGCUUAACACAUGCAAGUCGAACGAUGAAGAAAAGAAUCGAAGCUUCGGCAGAAAUUCAUUUCGGAUUAGUGGCAGACGGGUGAGUAACGCGUGAGCAACCUACCUCUUACAAAGGGAUAGCCUCGGGAAACCGGGAUUAAUACCAUAUAACAUUGCGACGAAGCAUUUCGAUGCAAUCAAAGCUAUGGCGGUAAGAGAUGGGCUCGCGUCCCAUUAACCGGAUGGUGAGGUAACGGCUCACCAUAGUGACGAUGGGUAACCGGGCUGAGAGGGGGAACGGUCACACUGGAACUGAGACACGGUCCAGACUCCUACGGGAGGCAGCAGUGGGGAAUAUUGCACAAUGGAGGGAACUCUGAUGCAGCGACGCCGCGUGAGUGAUGAAGGAAUUCGUUUCGUAAAACUCCGUUCUAUGGGAAGAAAAGGACUGUACCAUAGGAGAAAGCUCCGGCUAAAUACGUG